UAAGAUAUGGGCUUACCAAGGUCGCAACGGGUAACGGGGAAUCAGGGUUCGAUUCCGGAGAGGGAGCCUGAGAAACGGCUACCACAUCCAAGGAAGGCAACAGGCGCGCAAAUUACCCAAUCUAGACAGUAGGAGGUGGUGAAGAGAAGUACUAAGCAGUGGCCUUAAUGGUCACUGGCUUGGAAUGAACGUAAUUUAAGCAAUUCGAUGAGUAACUACUGGAGGGCAAGUCCUGGUGCCAGCAGCCGCGGUAAUUCCAGCUCCAGUCGUGUGCUUUAAAGUUGUUGCGUUUAAAACGCUCGUAGUUGGAUCACGCAGUGACAUCGGGUUAUCUACCGGUUACGCAAACAAACUGUCUGUAGUUGUGCACAACGCACGUUGUGUUGCGAUUACACGAUGGGCCUAGCUGUGGAUAAAAUGGCUCGACGUCACUAUUUGCACGCAAGUAUGUUAAUUGACCUUUAAUGCGUUGAAUAUCAUGUCUUGCGGAGUGUGCCUUGAAUAAAACAGAGUGCUCAAAGCAGGCAAUAGCUUGAAUGUUAUAGCAUGGAACGAACAAACGUGUGAUAGUGCAUGUUUGGCUACGGCGAUGGAUCUUUGGUUCGUUGCUGCGGUCAACGUGCAUAGCACCUACCAAAAUACGGAUGUUGGUUCUGUAUACGGUGAUGAUUAAAAGGAGCGGUUGGGGGCAUUGGUAUUUGACCGCGAGAGGUGAAAUUCUUAGACCGGUCAAGGACUAACAAAUGCGAAGGCACUUGUCUAGACCGUUUCCAUUAAUCAAGAACGAAAGUGGGAGGUUCGAAGACGAUCAGAUACCGUCCUAGUUCCCACUGUAAACUAUGCCGACCCGGGAUUAGGCUGGAGAUGUUACUUGCUCCGGUUUGGUCCCACUGGGAAACCUUAAGUUUUUCGGUUACGGGGAGAGUAUGGUCGCAAGGCUGAAACUUAAAGGAAUUGACGGAAGGGCACCACCAGGGGUGGAGCCUGCGGCUUAAUUUGACUCAACACGGGGAAACUUACCUGGUCCGGACAUCGAUAGGAUAGACAGACUGAUAGAUCUUUCUUGAUGCGAUGAGUGGUGGUGCAUGGCCGUUCUUAGUUCGUGGAGUGAUCUGUCAGGUUAAUUCCGGUAACGAACGAGACCACAGUCUUCAUUUAAGGCACGGAAGUAGGGUAUUAGUUAAUCUAGUGCUCGCUGGCAAAUCUGACUAUUCGUUGGGUGUUGAUGUUGGGAGUAAUCACAGUGUUGGCAUUCAGCGGAGAAGGCUUUUUUCCCUUCCGUUAAGCAGUUUCUGGCUCCGGUUGGAGGCUGCCUUAUGGAGAGACAACGAGGUAUAUAUAAGCUCGAGGAAGAGUGGCUAUAACAGGUCAGUGAUGCCCUUCGAUGUUCAGGGCCGCACGCGCGCUACAAUGAUGACGACAGCAAGUGUCUGGGUUGAAAAACUUGGGUAAUCUUAAAUCGUCAUCGUGAUGGGGAUUGACCGUUGUAACUAUCGGUCAUGAAAGAGGAAUCCCUAGUAUAUGUAUUUUAUUAGAAUACAUAGACUUAGUCCCUGCCCUUUGUACACACCGCCCGUCGCUACUACCGAGUGAAUGGUGUCAUGAUGCCUUGGGACUGGACGUGGAAUGGCUCUCGGGUUGUUCUACGCUGGGAUCAAUGUAAAAUGGCGCAAUUUCGAGGAAGUAAAAGUCGUAACAAGGUUUCCGUAGGUG
rnacentral:rRNA from 1 species